GACGGGCCCGCACAAGCAGCGGAGCGUGUGGUUUAAUUCGUUGCUACACGAAGACCUUACUGGGUUUGACAUAAUGGUGGUAGGGAUCCGAAAGGUGACCGACCCUUCGGGGAGCUUGCACAGGUGCUGCAUGGCUGUCGUCAGCUCGUGUCGUGAGAUGUUCGGUUAAGUCCCGCAACGAGCGCAACCCCUAUUGUUAGUUGCCAUCAUUCAGUUGGGCACUCUAGCGAGACUGCCGGUAAUAAACCGGAGGAAGGUGGGGAUGACGUCAAAUCAUCAUGCCCCUUAUGACCUGGGCUACACACGUGCUACAAUGGUUGGUACAACGAGUUGCGAGUCGGUGACGGCGAGCUAAUCUCUUAAAGCCAAUCUCAGUUCGGAUUGUAGGCUGCAAUUCGCCUACAUGAAGUCGGAAUCGCUAGUAAUCGCGGAUCAGCACGCCGCGGUGAAUACGUUCCCGGGCCUU
rnacentral:rRNA from 1 species